rnacentral:tRNA from 1 species
GGAAAUAGCUCAGCGGUAGAGCGCAUGCUUAGCAUGCACGAGGUCCUGAGUUCAAUUCCCAGCACAUCCA